rnacentral:rRNA from 1 species
CCUACGGGAGGCAGCAGUGAGGAAUAUUGGUCAAUGGGCGGAAGCCUGAACCAGCCAAGCAGCGUGCAGGAUGACGGCCCUACGGGUUGUAAACUGCUUUUAUACGGGAAUAACGCGCCUUACGUGUAGGUCUUUGCAUGUACCGUAUGAAUAAGGAUCGGCUAAUUCCGUGCCAGCAGCCGCGGUAAUACGGAAGGUUCGGGCGUUAUCCGGAUUUAUUGGGUUUAAAGGGUGCGUAGGCCGGCUGUUAAGUGUGCUGUGAAAGGCCCGGGCUCAACCCGGGCCUUGCGGGGGGAACUGGCUGGCGUGAGACCUCGGGAGGUAGGCGGAAUUCGUGGUGUAGCGGUGAAAUGCUUAGAUAUGGCGAAGAACCCCGAUUGCGAAGGCAGCUUGCUGCAGGGGAACUGACGCUGAUGCUCGAAAGCGCGGGUAUCGAACAGGAUUAGAUACCCCUGUAGUC